ACGACCUUACUUGAACAGGAUCUGUUCUAUAGGCUCGUACCACUGUAUCCUUGAGUUCUAAGGAGACAGGAAACCAAGUCUGGUUGAUGAGACAUGGCCACUAGACCAGAGCGUGAUUAACAGCUCCCACGGCCCUCGGGUCAUGGUGUUGUAGAUGAUCGUUCUCAGCCCCUAUAAUAAUAGGUAUUGGGAUGGUCUAAUGGCUGUCUGACAGACU
rnacentral:snoRNA from 1 species